rnacentral:rRNA from 1 species
GGCUCAGAACGAACGCUGGCGGGCAAGGCUUAAACACAUGCAAGUCGAACGGUUGUAGCAAUACAGCAGUGGCAGACGGGUGAGUAACACGUGGGAACCCUCCUAGGGGUACGGAACAACUCAGGGAAACUUGAGCUAAUACCGUAUACGUCCGUGAGGAGAAAGAUUUAUCGCCCUUAGACGGGCCCGCGUCGGAUUAGCUAGUUGGUGGGGUAACGGGCCUACCAAGGCGACGAUCCGUAGCUGAUCUUAGAGGAUGAUCAGCCACACUGGGACUGAGACACGGCCCAGACUCCUACGGGAGGCAGCAGUGGGGAAUCUUGGACAAUGGGCGCAAGCCUGAUCCAGCCAUGCCGCGUGAGUGAAGAAGGUCUUCGGAUUGUAAAGCUCUUUUGCCAGGGACGAUAAUGACGGUACCUGGAGAAUAAGCCCCGGCAAACUUCGUG